GAGACCCAGGAGCAGCUAGGCCCUUCUGUUGGCAAACAGAAGGGUGUGCUGUGGCACGGCAGUUUGCAUGGGCAGUUUGCGCAGGUCAGAAAGUCAACAGAUAUGCUUGACGUACAACUUGUAUCUAUAUUAGAAAGGAAAAAAACCAUGAAGAUUUGUCCUGAGCCAAGCUAUCAUUCUGAUAAUCCUCUUCCCUCUGCUAAAACGUUGCCCAGGUAUAGUCUGAGGUUUGGAGCUAUUUGGCAGAGAUUUCCAAAUAUCAUCUCAGCUACAAAAAGGACAUCAGCCCUGGAGGAGAGACUUUAAAGAAAAACAGUUAGCUUUGCAGAAGAGAACAGUACUGUUUUGCUGUGAAUCACACUGGAUUCUAGGUCAAGAUUUUAAACAGCAUCUAAUUCAGAGAUUACUGUUGCAACUUCCAGACUGUUUUGGAGAAUUGUAACUGUCAUAUGCCUUUCCCCUCCAACUGGAUGCUGUUUGAGAGAGCACAAAAAAACAUCAGGGAACAUGCUCCUCAUUAAACAGUAUGAACAAUUUGGUUGCAGAGCAAGUCCACAGAGAGUUCAAAUUCUCCCCCUCUAAAGAACCUCCAACUCAGAUUGAAAUAGAUCAAGAAAUGUGAAUGCUUUUGCAGGCAUGUCUGUAAGAUGAAGACUCCUUCCAACCAAAGAGCUGAGACAGAUAGUACUAAGAUCACUCAUCCUGCAUGUGGGAGACCUGAAUUCCAGCCACAGCAGGGUUGCAUUGAAUACUUGGCAAAUUCAGUCUGAAACAGAGGAACAAGUUCCUGUGCUGAGUCAUUGGAGUGUAAGGAAGAAAAAGAGAGGAUUCAGGAGGGACUGGAAGGUUUUUGUAAAGUUUCCACAGAACUUGAAGAGGAGUUCUCCUUCCUAUUUUCCGUCACCUCUCCCCUCCUUUCCAUGACUGAGGUUCCUUGCUAGGAAUACCAGCAUACUUCAGGCCACAACCACCAGACAGGGAAAAUGAAGAAUAAAUUCAUGAUGUUGCAGGUCUGUAUAGAGGUUGCUGAAGACAAUAAUGUUUAACAAAUGUGUCUUAAGAAAAGCUGUGUAGUUAUCUAAACUUAAAUGGAAUGUGUAGUUACUUAGUACUCUGCUGCAAUGUCGCCUAUAUUUUUGAGGUCUAUAUAGUGCAUCUUCCCAGAGAUUCUAUGAUACAUGACUCCCAAAGACAUUACUGUUAGAAGAAUACAGCUGUUUGUAAACCCCAGAUCAGAAUGCAACUUACAGAAGCUGUUCAAAAUCCAGUGGCAGAGAGCCAUUUUGUUAAAGACUAACAACCAGGUGGAUAGCACUUUGGGAGCUAGGCAAAAAAUUGUACAGUAAGAGAAUUCCAGGCUUCCUAGAAUACUUAUAACUACUGAAUGAGCUCUCAUUUGCUGUUUAGGCUUUUUCAAGAAGGAGCUGAUAAUGGGCAUUUUCUUGCAGCAAAUAACUAUCAUUAUCAGAAACCAAUGCUGUUAAACACAGAUGCUUUUGUAUCCCAUCAUCUGUGGAUGCUGGUAGCUUAAAAGAUGAGAUAUUUUGAAGAUGACACAGUGAAUUUUUACCCCAUUAAGGCUGCACUGUAGUGCAAAAGAAGAAAAAUAAUUGUGUUCUUAUGUACAACCUUGCCAUAAUAUUUGGUAUCCACCCUAUGCAGGUUCUUAGGAUUUCCAAGGUGCAGUAUAGUAAUAAAUCAGACCUUAUGUAGUCUAAUAUCUAAAGGAGAUACUGAAAUACUACUUUAAGCUUCUGACAUUGACAAAAGUUCAAGGUAUUUAAUGGACUCCAUCCCAUAACACCAACA